CAGCCGUGUAAGAUGUGCCUGCUUCCCCCUCGCCUUCUGGCAUGACUGUAAGUUUGCUGAAGCCUCCCAGCCAUGCAUCCUGUAAAGCCUGUGGAACUAGUUAACUUUUCUUGGGAAGAAAUGAAGUGGAAAUAUGGUUGCUGCCUAAGAAGUAAUAAUAGGAGAUACAGGAAGCAGUUUGAAAUGGAAUAGAAACAACUUGUGAUAGAGGACAGAAGCCAUAUCAGAAGUCACGGAAUUAAUUAUGUGAGUCUGGGAUCAGUGAGAGAUGAAAAUUGAGAAGAAAGAAAACUGUAAGACUCUGUGACUUGAAAAAUCCAGGAGAGACAGGCAACUGAAUUGCUACAUUGUAUUUUCUCUUAAACCCAAGAAAAUUCCCUGUGUUAGAACAACUUGAAUGAAAAGAAGAAUAAACAGGUGUCCAACAAUAACAUUUCCAAGAUAGGAAGAAAGCGAGGGUUCAAAACGGAGCUGGUGCCCUUUGCUGAAGGAUAUCUCCUGUGCUCUUCAGUGGCAGAAGCAAAAUAAAAACAUUUCAUUUUAUGGAAGCAGUUAGACACACAUCUGUUGUUCCAGAACUUCCAUAUUAAAUGCUUGUCUACACAGGCCAUGUCAAUUAAAACUGUCUGUAUGCAACAACAAAAAAUUUAAGUCAUAUUGAUAUACAAUGACUGUUACAGAAUUUGGCCCCUUUUUAUUUUGUCUUAAUGGAAAGGAAGCCUUUCAUUCCUUGAGUAGUUAAAAACUUAGGUUUAUCUCUGUUGUAACCAAACUAAGACGAAUGAUACUAAUUCAUUUGGCUUUUAUAUCUAUUUAAAUCUUGUAAAAAAAUAGCUUUUCACCUCUAUAACCCUAGCAUUGAACUUGGUGGCUAUUUAAUAAAUAAUUAUACAGUGAUUAAAGGAAUGUAUGAGUGAGAAUAAGAAAAAAAACUUUGAGAUUCUUAAAACAAGGUGAAAUUAUAUUUGAAAAUACAGACUUUAUUUGAGAAUUAAACUUUAUUUUUAUUCUCAGUACUAACAGCUAAAAUAGUAAAAUUAAUGAUGUUAAUUUUUUUUUGUUUGUUUUUUGAGAUGGAGGCUUGCUCUGUCACUGAGGCUGGAGCAUAAUCUCAGCUCACUACAACCUCUGCCUCCUGGGUUUAAGUGAUUCUCCUGCCUCAGCCUCCUGAGUAGCUGAGAUUAUAGUCGUGUGCCACCACAGCUGGUUAAUUUUUGUAUUUUUAGUAGAGAUGGGGUUUUCACCAUGUUGGCCAGCCUGGUUUUGAACACAUGACCUCAAGUGAUCUGCCAGCUUCAGCCUCCCAAAGUGCUAGGAUUACAGGCAUAAGCCACCACGCUCGGCCAAUAAAUACUUUUGAAGAAACAUAGAUAUACACACAAAUUAUGUCAUAUCUACAGAUUGCCAAAUUAUUACCCCAAGUUGAUUGUGUUUCAGGAAAUAAGCUUCCAGAUAAAAGAUACUAUAAAAUAUUUAGCAUAAAUAUUUGAUUUCCUUUAAUUUUUUCAGCUUUUUGAUUUUACAUUAAAUAUUUCUUAGUAUCUUUCAUCUAGACUUUUACUCCCUAGAAGGUAAAAAAAAA
rnacentral:lncRNA from 10 species